rnacentral:lncRNA from 1 species
GCCGUAGUCGAGGCCCGGCCGCUCGUUGAUUCACCCGCAACGCUGCCUGAAUACGCCUCGCUGCCCACAGAAAUUCCUGCCCAAACCAGACGCGUGGACCACCCAAGACGAAAUUCACACUCGACCCUAGCCCCGCCAGCCCUUGCCGAAAUCACCCUAAACCCGUUGAAAUUAAUUCCCAGCUGUCCGAAUUUUCCUUCCAACAUUAACUGACUACCUGUCUCCGCCAAGCUGACUGAACUCUACCGAACUCUUACCCUGAAAGCCCCUGAGAGUCCAAAAUAUAUUUUUCCAGCCCGAAAUCUAAAUCCCAGUUCUCUGUAUGAAAACCUCCAGAAACCCAGACUCUUACUUCCUUCGGCCACGGACUCGUUCGAACAUCGUGGACAUCACCUUCCCACAUUUUUACCGCAGUCUUUGGCUCCGAUUCUUUGUCCCUGCCUCUUGGGCAGCAUCCUAUCCCUGUUUCUUUCCACCUUUGAGGAUUCCUCUACCUCUUUAAAGGCCUGCUUUCUUUGCUUUCUCUUCUCACCUUUGGCAUUGGCACACUGGGGUCAUAUCUUUAGUUCCCUUGACUCCACCAUCUAAGCCAAGGGUGUCCAAUCUUUUGGCUUCCCUGGGCUACAUUGGAAGGAGAAAAAUUGUCUUGGACCACAUAUAAAAUAUUCUAACGCUAAUGGUAGCUGAUGAAACUUUUAAAAAAUCUCAUCAUGUUUUAAGAAGUUUACGAAUUUGUGCUGAGCCGCAUUCAAAGCCGUCCUGGGCCUAAGUCCUUGCUAUUUUUCCUCUUCAAUUUCCUUCAAUCCAUAGUUCUCUAGGUUAUUUUCCCACCCUUUCCCAAGAUUCGGAUAUCCCUUCAUUCUUGCUGAGUUCAUCUCCUAUGCCUAUUCCUACAUACUUGCUGAGUUCAUCUUCUAAUGUCCUCAUCCUGGUUUCUUCCUGAACCUGAAAUCCAGCUAACCUUACUUUUUCAUCCCAUCAAACCCCUGCUGUUGCCAGCCCAGCACUCACGAAGAUCUUUACAUACACCAAAUAUUAAAUUAGGGCCGGUACCUAGACAUUGUCUCUGCACUCUGCUGGCAUAUUUUCCCCUGGACCACGAACCCUUCGUACCUAGUAACUUGCCACCUGUGUUUAUAAAUACCAGCAAUUUGAUUUACAGGGUGAAUUUGUCACUAUUGUUUACUUUUAAAUGAAGUUACUGUAUUUGUUGUUUCCAUUAAAGGCGACAUUAUAAAGCCUAGGCCUCAUAUCCAAAGCAAAUAAAGUCUCAAUUUUUUAAUUAAAAGUAACAAAAGGAAACCUCACACUUCUGAACAACAAUGACAAGAAGGAAUGCCUAUAAUUGGUUUGGGUCACAAUGUACAUAUUGAAAUAAAAUUUUUAUUAAGUAUCAACUUCCAGGUACACAAUGAAGUUUUAAAUGUUUAUCUGUGACAUAUGAAGAACAAAGCAAUCUAAACUGAUGUAAGCAGGCUGUCAUA